rnacentral:rRNA from 1 species
GACGAACGCUGGCGGCGUGCUUAACACAUGCAAGUCGAACGGAAAGGCCCUGCUUUUGUGGGGUGCUCGAGUGGCGAACGGGUGAGUAACACGUGAGUAACCUGCCCUUGACUUUGGGAUAACUUCAGGAAACUGGGGCUAAUACCGGAUAGGAGCUCCUGCUGCAUGGUGGGGGUUGGAAAGUUUCGGCGGUUGGGGAUGGACUCGCGGCUUAUCAGCUUGUUGGUGGGGUAGUGGCUUACCAAGGCUUUGACGGGUAGCCGGCCUGAGUGGGUGACCGGCCACAUUGGGACUGAGAUACGGGCCAGACUCCUACGGGAGGCAGCAGUGGGGAAUAUUGCACAAUGGGCGGAAGCCUGAUGCAGCAACGCCGCGUGCGGGAUGACGGCCUUCGGGUUGUAAACCGCUUUCGCCUGUGACGAAGCGUGAGUGACGGUAAUGGGUAAAGAAGCACCGGCUAACUACGUG